rnacentral:rRNA from 1 species
UAUUGGCCAAUGGAGGCAACUCUGAACCAGCCAUGCCGCGUGCAGGAAGAAUGUCCUAUGGAUUGUAAACUGCUUUUAUUUAGGAAUAAACCUCUUUACGUGUAGAGAGCUGAAGGUACUAAAAGAAUAAGCACCGGCUAACUCCGUGCCAGCAGCCGCGGUAAUACGGAGGGUGCAAGCGUUAUCCGGAAUCAUUGGGUUUAAAGGGUCCGCAGGCGGAAAUGUAAGUCAGAGGUGAAAUCCGGCAGCUCAACUGUCGCAUUGCCUUUGAUACUGUGUUUCUUGAAUUUUAAUGGAGUGGGCGGAAUAUGUCAUGUAGCGGUGAAAUGCUUAGAUAUGACAUGGAACACCGAUAGCGAAGGCAGCUCACUAAUUAUGAAUUGACGCUCAUGGACGAAAGCGUGGGUAGCAAACAGG